rnacentral:lncRNA from 1 species
UCAGUAGCAGCUCUAUAAGUAGCAAGGGCUACUUUUUGGAGCCAUACUUUUACACCUCCAUACUUUUGUACUUUUUAGAUAUUUUUCCAGCAUUGCUCUUGGGAUCUUUUGUGACCUAGAAAUCAUUUCUCUUCAUCUCUUAACAAUCUUUCACAAAAAGAAGGUGGAUUCCCAUCCAAUCUCGAUUAUUCGACUCGGAUGUU